rnacentral:rRNA from 1 species
GAUCAUGGCUCAGGAUGAACGCUAGCUACAGGCUUGACACAUGCAAGUCGAGGGGCAUCAGUUUGGUUUGCUUGCAAACCAAAGCUGGCGACCGGCUCACGGGUGAGUAACACGUAUCCAACCUACCUCAUACUCGGGGAUAGCCUUCCGAAAGAAAGAUUAAUAUCCGAUAGCAUAUAUUUCCCGCAUGGGUUUUAUAUUAAAGAAAUUCGGUAUGAGAUGGGGAUGCGUUCCAUUAG